rnacentral:misc_RNA from 1 species
UUUUUGGUUGUGGGCGAUACUCAGGGUUAGCUUGAAAUUGGAGACUGUUUCAGUCUUUUUUAAUUCAACACUUAGCUUCUUUGGAGACGCUGUUCUCGCUGUGAUGUAUUUAUGGAUUUAUUCGUUUUACUUUACAAGGGAAAUGGUAACGUACCUUAGGCAAAGGGUUGCUUUUAAUAUUCAUCAAGUUUGACCUCAAAUCAGGUAGGAUUACCCGCUGAACUUAAGCAUAUCAAUAAGCGGAGGA